rnacentral:rRNA from 1 species
GAGGAUAGCCUUUAGAAAUGAAGAUUAACACUCCAUAAUGUAUAGAAGAGGCAUCUCUUUUAUAUUAAAUAUUUAUAGGUACAAGAUGACUAUGCGUCCUAUUAGCUAGAUGGUAAGGUAACGGCUUACCAUGGCAACGAUAGGUAGGGGGUCUGAGAGGAUUAUCCCCCACACUGGUACUGAGACACGGACCAGACUCCUACGGGAGGCAGCAGUGAGGAAUAUUGGUCAAUGGAGGCAACUCUGAACCAGCCAUGCCGCGUGCAGGAUGACUGCCCUAUGGGUUGUAAACUGCUUUUAUACAGGAAGAAACCGUGCUACGUGUAGCACCUUGACGGUACUGUAAGAAUAAGGACCGGCUAACUCCGUGCCAGCAGCCGCGGUAAUACGGAGGGUCCAAGCGUUAUCCGGAAUCAUUGGGUUUAAAGGGUCCGCAGGCGGUCAAUUAAGUCAGAGGUGAAAGCCCAUCGCUCAACGAUGGAACUGCCUUUGAUACUGGUUGACUUGAGUUAUACGGAAGUAGAUAGAAUAAGUAGUGUAGCGGUGAAAUGCAUAGAUAUUACUUAGAAUACCGAUUGCGAAGGCAGUCUACUACGUAUAUACUGACGCUCAUGGACGAAAGCGUGGGGAGCGAACAGGAUUAGAUACCCUGGUAGUCCACGCCGUAAACGAUGGAUACUAGUUGUUGGGUUUCGACUCAGUGACUAAGCGAAAGUGAUA